ACUAAUAAAACUUUGAAACAAGUAAUGGUGAUAAUGCUAGACAACACUUGGCUCAGAUUUUUUAAAAAGAGGACGUUUUUGGGUCAUAUGACAGCUUACAGCUGACGUUUGCCUUGCUUAUAAACCUCAUAGAAAGACUAUUUUAACUGAAGUGUGUACUCGAUUUGCCUAUCGCGCUUCGUGUACUAAGUAUAUAAAAAAGUAGACAACGUUUAACUGAAAAUUAAAAUAUAUUUACAAAAAAUCGGUUUAGUAAUAGCACACAAAAUAAAGCAAAUAAUACUGCUUACUUUAUCAUAAUGAUUACCUAAUUAAUAAAUUCAAAUAUUUGCAUAGUAAACUCACGAUUACAACAAAAACAAAAACCACAGCGAAAAAUUGAGAGAGAAUGGGUAAUAUACUAGUUAGGUCGAUGAAUCAAAACUUAACGAUUUUCAGACAAAAGCGAGUCGUCGAGGCUACAUAAGUUACACACCAUAAUAACGGAAGAGUAUGACAAACGAAAACAUAAUAGAACAAAUUGAAAUCAAAUCGAAGACUAUAUAGUGUGGGUAGUGAGAAAAAUCAGAAGAACGAAAGGGUAUAAAAUAUGCAGAAUAAAUAUAAACUAAGAGUAAAAGUAAAAGAAAACUGUCGAGAUUAAACGAUGGUGUACAGCAAAUUGGUGCAAAAGUUUGUAUGUAGAGAGCGUACAUUUUUAUAUACAUAUUUAUGUAUUUAUGUAUAUAGUACAAAUAUAUGGCUGUACAAGGCAUAUAGCGCGGAGUACAUAGAGAUAACCUGAAUGCUAAGAACAGAUGGAGUAGGCAAAGGGGGCUCUUGCAGGCACAGCAGCAGCACUUGAAAAUAUGCGCGCAUGUAUUUAUGAGGCCAUCCAACCGACUGUCAGGCAAAUGAAAAGGCAGUGUGCGAAGGCAGGAGGGGGACGACAAAGCACGUCGUUGGCAGGACGGGAGCGGUGGGCGAAGCAAAACAAAAAAAGCAAAGCAAAGCAACAACAGUAACAACUAGCGGAGGCAGCGAGAGUGGGACGCGUAAGGAGUGGAGCAGGGCAAAAGUGGGAGCAAGUGAAUUGCGGAACUGAAUGGCAAAAAAUCACAUUGGAAGGCAAGGUGGUAGCCGGGUAUGUGGUGGAUGCUUGAUGGCAGUUAAAAGCGUUGGAGCGGUGGAGCAGCAGUUGGGCGCUAAAACAAACACAAAUACACGCAGCUACUUGCAUAGCUUGUAGACGCGUUAAUAAAAUAUAUCCGAGAGGAAGGAGUAUAUUGUAUGUAUGUACAGUAUGUUUGUAUGUUAUUUGUGUACGUAUGUAUGGUUGUAUAUAUAUUUAUGUCGAUUUGUAGUAGGCAUGAAGGCAAAAAUUGUGUGAUGCGACCGAAAGCGAACAAAAAUGAAAUAAAGUAACAGGAAAAAAUCAUAUCACAAACAGCAAUCAACCAACCGAACAGUCAGUGGACAGUCUUAAAACAAAAUCAAGUACGGAAAAAAUAAUAAAAAUUCAUACGAGUGCCAAUCGCUGGCAAAUGUAUCCACUUGCAUGCAUACUACAUGCAUAUAUACCUAAGUACAUACAUACCAACGAGUAAAAUUGUAUCGCUUUGCACCGAAUGGGGCGAGUAUGCAGCCGAGAGGGUGUGCAAGGAAAGGCAAAAAAAAAACGACACGAAACAAAAAAGACAUCUGCAAACAGCACUUGGCACUCAGUGCAAAACAUUAAAUUGCAUGGGAGUAGAGUAGAGAGCAGUGCAGCGGGCUACCGAUAUUAGUGUCGCUCGGCAAUUUGGUGGUCCGAGAGUAUAAGAAUGAGAGCGCAUACAUAUGCUGUGCAGAGGAAGCAUUUGCAAAAAGCACGAAAAAAAGUAUCAGCAACAACAACAACAAUAAUAAGCGCAAAUAGUGUUCAACGGGCGUUGCUAUUUCAAGAGGUUGCAGAGGGCUAAGUGGUCGCGGGUUGUAUG